rnacentral:rRNA from 1 species
UACGAAGGGGGCUAGCGUUGCUCGGAAUCACUGGGCGUAAAGCGCACGUAGGCGGAUUGCUAAGUCAGGGGUGAAAUCCUGGAGCUCAACUCCAGAACUGCCUUUGAUACUGAAGAUCUUGAGUUCGGGAGAGGUGAGUGGAACUGCGAAGUGUAGAGGUGAAAUGCGUAGAUAGUCUGGAGGAACACCGGUGGCGAAGGCGGCAUCCUGGACCGGUAUUGACGCUGAG